rnacentral:rRNA from 1 species
UACGGAGGGUGCAAGCGUUAUCCGGAUUCACUGGGUUUAAAGGGUGCGUAGGUGGGUAUGUAAGUCAGUGGUGAAAUCCCCGAGCUUAACUUGGAAACUGCCAUUGAUACUAUCAAUCUUGAAUACCGUGGAGAUGAGCGGAAUAUGUCAUGUAGCGGUGAAAUGCUUAGAUAUGACAUAGAACACCAAUUGCGAAGGCAGCUCGUUACACGAAUAUUGACACUGAUGCACGAAAGCGUGGGGAUCAAACAGG